rnacentral:rRNA from 1 species
UACGUAGGGUGCAAGCGUUAUCCGGAAUUAUUGGGCGUAAAGAGCUCGUAGGCGGUUUGUCGCGUCUGCUGUGAAAACCCGAGGCUCAACCUCGGGCCUGCAGUGGGUACGGGCAAGCUAGAAUUCGGUAGGGGAGACUGGAAUUCCUGGUGUAGCGAUGAAAUGCGCAGAUAUCAGGAGGAACACCGGUGGCGAAGGCGGGUCUCUGGGCCGAAAUUGACGCUGAGGAGCGAAAGCGUGGGGAGCAAACAGG